UACGUAGGGUGCAAGCGUUGUCCGGAAUUACUGGGCGUAAAGAGCUCGUAGGUGGUUUGUCGCGUUGUUCGUGAAAUCUCACGGCUUAACUGUGAGCGUGCGGGCGAUACGGGCAGACUGGAGUACUGCAGGGGAGACUGGAAUUCCUGGUGUAGCGGUGGAAUGCGCAGAUAUCAGGAGGAACACCGGUGGCGAAGGCGGGUCUCUGGGCAGUAACUGACGCUGAGACGCGAAAGCGUGGGGAGCGAACAGG
rnacentral:rRNA from 1 species